rnacentral:rRNA from 1 species
CAGCAGCCGCGGGAAUACAGAGGGUGCGAGCGUUAAUCGGAUUUACUGGGCGUAAAGCGUGCGUAGGCGGCUUCUUAAGUCGGAUGUGAAAUCCCUGAGCUUAACUUAGGAAUUGCAUUCGAUACUGGGAAGCUAGAGUAUGGGAGAGGAUGGUAGAAUUCCAGGUGUAGCGGUGAAAUGCGUAGAGAUCUGGAGGAAUACCGAUGGCGAAGGCAGCCAUCUGGCCUAAUACUGACGCUGAGGUACGAAAGCAUGGGGAGCAAACAGGAUUAGAUACCCCGGUAGUUCCUGUCUCUUAUAC